rnacentral:rRNA from 1 species
AGCAGCCGCGGUAAUUCCAGCUCCAAUAGCGUAUAUUAAAGUUGUUGCAGUUAAAAAGCUCGUAGUUGAAUUUCGGGGUCAGUAGGUCGGUCGUGCCACUGGUAUGAACUGGUUUUACUGAUUCCUCCCUCUUGAAGAACUGUUAUGCCAUUUAUUUGGUGUUGCAGGGAAUCAGGACUGUUACUUUGAAAAAAUUAGAGUGUUUAAAGCAGGCUUUAGCUUGAAUACAUUAGCAUGGAAUAAUGAAAUAGGACGUUUGAUCCUAUUUUGUUGGUUUCUAGGAUUGACGUAAUGAUUAAUAGGGAUAGUUGGGGGCAUUAGUAUUCAAUUGUCAGAGGUGAAAUUCUUGGAUUUAUUGAAGACUAACUACUGCGAAAGCAUUUGCCAAGGAUAUUUUCAUUAAUCAAGAACGAAAGUUAGGGGAUCGAAGACGAUCAGAUACCGUCGUAGUCUUAACCAUAAACUAUGCCGACUAGGGAUCGGAUGAUGUUAAUUUUUUAAUGACUCA